rnacentral:misc_RNA from 1 species
AAGUCGUAACAAGGUUUCCGUAGGUGAACCUGCGGAAGGAUCAUUAAAGAAUUUCUGACGGAGGUUGUAGCUGGCUUCCCUCACGGGGAGCACGUGCACGCCUCUCUCACUAAUCCACACACACCUGUGCACCCUUGCGUGAGCUUAUCGGUGGUCAGAGUACUGCCGGGGGCUUGCGUCCGUUUUCACAAACUCUUGUAUGUCUUCGGAAUGUUUAUCUUGAUGUACGCAUCUUAAUACAACUUUCAACAACGGAUCUCUUGGCUCUC